UGAAUCCGCGCGGGAGAGUCCCCAGUACGUCUGCGUCGCUGGGGCGCCGAAGGAGCAAGUCCCUCCCUUGAAUCUCUCAGGCCCCGUUACCGCGCGGGCGAG
rnacentral:ncRNA from 2 species